CGUAGGGGAACCUGCGG
rnacentral:rRNA from 1 species